rnacentral:rRNA from 1 species
AUUGAACGCUGGCGGCAGGCCUAACACAUGCAAGCCGAGCGGAUGAAGAGAGCUUGCUCUCUGAUUUAGCGGCGGACGGGUGAGUAAUGCCUAGGAAUCUGCCUGGUAGUGGGGGACAACGUUCCGAAAGGAACGCUAAUACCGCAUACGUCCUACGGGAGAAAGCAGGGGACCUUCGGGCCUUGCGCUAUCAGAUGAGCCUAGGUCGGAUUAGCUAGUUGGUGAGGUAAUGGCUAACCAAGGCGACGAUCCGUAACUGGUCUGAGAGGAUGAUCAGUCACACUGGAACUGAGACACGGUCCAGACUCCUACGGGAGGCAGCAGUGGGGAAUAUUGGACAAUGGGCGAAAGCCUGAUCCAGCCAUGCCGCGUGUGUGAAGAAGGUCUUCGGAUUGUAAAGCACUUUAAGUUGGGAGGAAGGGCAUUAACCUAAUACGUUAGUGUUUUGACGUUACCAACAGAAUAAGCACCGGCUAACUUCGUGCCAGCCGCCGCGGUAAAAC